AUACGGAGGGGGUUAGCGUUGUUCGGAAUUACUGGGCGUAAAGCGCACGUAGGCGGACUGGAAAGUUGGGGGUGAAAUCCCGGGGCUCAACCCCGGAACCGCCUCCAAAACUUCCAAUCUAGAGAUCGAGAGAGGUGAGUGGAAUUCCAAGUGUAGAGGUGAAAUUCGUAGAUAUUUGGAGGAACACCAGUGGCGAAGGCGGCUCACUGGCUCGAUACUGACGCUGAGGUGCGAAAGCGUGGGGAGCAAACAGGAUUAGAUACCCGAGUAGUCC
rnacentral:rRNA from 1 species